CCUACGGGUCGCAGCAGUGAGGAAUAUUGGUCAAUGGGCGGAAGCCUGAACCAGCCAAGUAGCGUGCAGGAUGACGGCCCUACGGGUUGUAAACUGCUUUUAUACGGGAAUAACGCGCCUUACGUGUAGGGCUUUGCAUGUACCGUCUGAAUAAGGACCGGCGAAUUCCGUGCCAGCAGCCGCGGUAAUACGGAAGGUCCGGGCGUUAUCCGGAUUUAUUGGGUUUAAGGGGAGCGUAGGCCGCAUGUCAAGCGUGCUGUGAAAUGUCCGGGCUCAACCCGGGCCUUGCAGCGCGAACUGGCGUGCUCGAGUCCGCGGAAAGCAGGCGGAAUUCGUCGUGUAGCGGUGAAAUGCUUAGAUAUGACGAAGAACCCCGAUUGCGAAGGCAGCUUGCUGCAGCGGAACUGACGCUGAUGCUCGAAAGCGCGGGUAUCGAACAGGAUUAGAUACCCGAGUAGUC
rnacentral:rRNA from 1 species